GCCGCCAGGCUCAGAGUGUUGAAUCUAGGCCAGAUGGGUAGCGGGAGCUCUGGCCUGCUGUGAAACGGUUCUGGUGGAGAAUCGGACGGAGACGGUGGACCCCAUCCCUGAUCCUCUACAGGGAAUAACACCAUAAAAAGGAAGAAGACUACAAGCCAAUCCAUCAGAAGGGACUUUCAUUUGGUGGAGUAAUGGUUCCAUCAAUAGUACAUUCAUUCUGCCUUGUGAAGAUAUAGAGUUGAACCAGACCCUGGCCAUGAACCUGUGCUGUAAAAAUGGACCCCCUCUCAAACAUCCGGUUUGUUUGUUAUGUGUGAGUGCGUGUGCACGUGUGUGUGUGUG
ensembl:lncRNA